rnacentral:lncRNA from 1 species
CUUCCUUCCUCAUACCUUCACUGAGCGAACCCAAUGCUCAGUGGCCUUUCUGGUCACCUCCUUUUCCUCUCUGGGAGGAGCCACUCCUGGGGUGUAACGCAGUCAGAUCCCCUAGCAGUCCCGCUCUGCCCCCUCCCUUCUGGGGGCCUCAGACUCCAUUCCCUCCCUUAGGAAGCUGACUUGACUAAUAGCACAGGUGAGGCCCACUCCAGGCGUGCCAAGAGGACCCAAGGAGGGAGGGGAAGCUCCCAGACAGCAGUGGCACACCUUUGCCUGUGCUGUCCUCCCAGCCUGGAGCACCAGCCCCCUCUGCUGUCCACAUCCAAGCUUUCUACAAGACUCCGUCCUCCAGGAGACCUCUGGCUGCCUCACCUUCUCAGGCGUCCUCACCAGGGCCCAUGACCCCUUCAUUUCAGACUCGGGCCAUCUUGGAGCUCUCCCCUGCGGUAACAUCUGGAACCAGUUGCCUGGGUUCAAAUCCCAGCUUCAACCCUUACAAGCUGAGCAAGUGACCUAACCUCCUGUGCUUCAGAGUCUUCUCUUGCAAAACAGCUAUAGGCUAAAAACUGGAUUCAUCAAACGAAUCUUUGGUCAACAACUGUUCAAGAACAAUGUUAACAUCACACAUAGGAAUGCUAGGAUUUGCUAUUUUCAGCGAUCGAGAAUUACUUUGUUUUGUAAAUGGAAAUACCACGACUAAAACCAGAAUGCUACAAAUAGAGUGAUGUCUUUUGUUUCCAAAGUCAAUAUACUAGAGCAAGGCAAAAAUAAUAAUAAAAGCGAGGUAUUUUGUGGCAAAGU